rnacentral:rRNA from 1 species
UACAGAGGUCUCAAGCGUUGUUCGGAUUCAUUGGGCGUAAAGGGUGCGUAGGUGGCGCUGUAAGUCGGGUGUGAAAUUUCGGAGCUUAACUCCGAAACUGCAUUCGAUACUGCGGUGCUUUGAGGACUGGAGAGGAGACUGGAAAUUCAUGGUGUAGCAGUGAAAUGCGCAGAUAUCAGGAGGAACACCGGUGGCGAAGGCGGGUCUCUGGGCCGAUACUGACGCUGAGGAGCGAAAGCGUGGGGAGCGAACAGG